GAUGAACGCUGGCGGCGUGCCUAAUACAUGCAAGUCGAGCGAACAGACGAGGAGCUUGCUCCUCUGACGUUAGCGGCGGACGGGUGAGUAACACGUGUAUAACCUACCUAUAAGACUGGUAUAACUUCGGGAAACCGGAGCUAAUACCGGAUAAUAUAUUGAACCGCAUGGUUCAAUAGUGAAAUACGGUGUUUCUGUCACGUAUAGAUGGAUCCGCGCCGCAUUAGCUAGUUGUUCAGGUAACGGGUUACCAAGGCAACGAUGCGUAGCCGACGGGAGAGGGUGGUCGGCCACACUGGAACUGAGACACGGUCCAGACUCCUACGGGAGGCAGCAGUAGGGAAUCUUCCGCAAUGGGCGAAAGCAUGACGGAGCAACGCGGAGUGAGUGAUGAAGGUCUUCGGAUCGUAAAACCCUGUUAUUAGGGAAGAACAAAUGUGUCAGUAACUAUGCACGUCUUGACGGUACCUAAUCAGAAAGCCACGGCUAACUACGUG
rnacentral:rRNA from 1 species